GAUGAAGAACGCAGCGAAAUGCGAUAAGUAAUGUGAAUUGCAGAAUCCAGUGAAUCAUCGAAUCUUUGAACGCACAUUGCGCCCGCCAGUAUUCUGGCGGGCAUGCCUGUCCGAGCGUCAUUUCAACCCUCGAACCCCUCCGGGGGGUCGGCGUUGGGGAUCGGCCCUCCCUUAGCGGGUGGCCGUCUCCGAAAUACAGUGGCGGUCUCGCCGCAGCCUCUCCUGCGCAGUAGUUUGCACACUCGCAUCGGGAGCGCGGCGCGUCCACAGCCGUUAAACACCCAACUUCUGAAAUGUUGACCUCGGAUCAGGUAGGAAUACCCGCUGAACUUAAGCAUAUCAAUAAGCGGAGGA
rnacentral:misc_RNA from 1 species